rnacentral:tRNA from 1 species
AAGAGUAUAGCUUAGUGGUAGAGUGCAUGCUUAGCAUGCAUGAGGUCCCGGGUUCAAUCCCCAGGACUUCCA